GUUGCCUUUCUCUGGAAGAGAAAGAAUAGUUCUGCCCUUUACUGGUAGAAUCUCACUCUGUAAUGGGAACAAAUCCAGGAGACAACAGCUAGCAGAAGCAAUUUUUGUGAGGUCCCUUCUGAGAGCAUUUCCCACACGACUCUGUCAAGGGAAUGCAGCUGCAGUUGUUUAUUGCUCUUAAAUACAGUGGGGAUUGCACUUUGUGACUAGAAAGAUGACUACACAAGAACACUGGCAACAGAUUUGUUUUGAAUCCUGCUCUGCAGAUGAUCUCUUCUUUUGCAGAGGAGUAAGUCAAAUUGCAUGCUGGAGUGAAGCAAACUCAAAUCAAUGGACAGAAAAGUUUGCAAACAUUUUUGCAAAAACAACAUUUAUGGAGGAAUCCAAUAUGCAACUAGCUUCUCAGAAUUAUAACCACAGCUUUAACACAGAAAAUGGAGAAGACAGGUAAUGGGAGAUUCUCCCAAAUGUAAUUAGGAGCAGUAAAGGGUAACUAGUAAGAAUAGCAAGGUUUCUGUCCUUGUCAAGUUGGAUGAAAAAGGUGAAACUGAAGAGUUCACAAUCCUUAGAAACUGAAGAUGGAAAUUAACAACAGGUACACUUCAGCAGAGGCAGAGAUUUGGUUGAUACAGUCAUAGUGACAUAAGGAAAACUAAGAAAAAAAGAUCAACCUAAGGAAUAAAUAAACAAAUAAAUAAAUAAUAUAAAAAGAC
rnacentral:lncRNA from 1 species